rnacentral:lncRNA from 1 species
CGAGGAAUAUAACGACAAAGAAAUAUGAGAACAUCUGAUCAUCCACUAUCCAAAUGUGUUCUCGCCACUGUAUGUAACAUACAGAAAUCCAUCUGCAUCCUUCUUUUCAUCAUAUAUGGUAGACAUUAUUGCUCCUGCAAAAAAUGAAAUAUGGUCUUCAUAAUCUUCGAGGAAAUGUAGACACGAUGUCAUAACUUCUACAAAUCUGAAUAUUACUGAACAUCUUUCCAGUUGACUUUCCAGGAAUACGACACUUUACCGUGACCAUAAUCCUUGAUUGGUCAUGAAUUAAACUAUUUUCUUUUGACUUCAACCAGGAAUUGGAUUAUUUACCACGAUCAGAUUUCCUCUUCCAAAUCCAAAUAUUGUAAAAAAAGUUUAUAUCCGAGAAUCUUAUGAUAUAUUCCAACUAAGCUUUGAUUCUUAGAAAGAAUUAAGUACAGCCUGCUCAUUGUUUGACACGAAAAUGAAUACCACGGUGUCAUUUCUGCACAUUUUUUUCUUCGAAAAUCUCCAUGGAUAUUGCAAAAGUUCAAUCAUAUCCAAGAAUCUGUGUUGGACAUUUUUCCAGUUAAAGUUUGACUUCAAUAUGGCAUUAACUAUUUACCAAGGUAAAACUACGUUAUCAUAUUUAACACAUACCCUAAAAUUAACCAUCAAAUCAGAAGGGGGGAGACAGAGAGAAGUUUCACUAGAUACCUGUAGCUGGGAGGACAUUGUCUACGAAUAUGAAGAUUGCCUUUUCUGCACUCAGUUUAAUUCUCUUACGGAUGACAUAGACAAACUGACCCACAGUCAAAUCAGCUGGAACCAGGUAUCUGUUAUGUAGCAAAUCAAGUCGUUAAUAUAUAGAACUACAUCAGCAGUAAGUACCGGAUCAAACAGCAUCCUGUUCAUUCACAAAUUAUAAUACAAUACAACAAUUGAGCCCGCAUUGAAUCUAAAGAAAAAAUCAGAAAGGACGGAGAUACAGUCCAUGACUGCCAGGCCUAGUGAUAACUCUUCCUCCUUUAAGAACAAGGGAGGAUGGAGAUUUUGGGUUUAACAUCCAGUGGGCGGGUGUGUGGCUUACUCAAAAGGGGAAAACCUUAUAUGUUUCCAAAGUAAUAAAUUUAUACUGAUGACAAUAGAGCUGCAGCUUACUCACAAAAGUGAUUACAUAAGAGGAAGUAAUGUGAAACUGGUGCUUACUUUUUCCUGUCAAUGUUGGGAAUAUCACUUCUCUCUGCCUUUUCCACAAUCACCUUCAAAUCAGAAAAGAAAUAAUUAACAGAAGCAACGAUUCGGAUACCACGAGUGCAUUGUAUUAUGAUGCAAUUGAACCACUAUUUAGAAGAGAUCAAGAAGCACCAUCUGAAUAAUCAUGUGUGUGUGUGUGUGCUGGAGGUUAUGUUACUGAUCUAAGUAUCUAAGUCCAUGAUGGUUCCAUGGUUUUCAAUGAUAAUCAUGAUUCAGCCAUUCCCUUUGAUAUACCAAAUAAACAUACAAUGCAUCUAGCAUACGCAUGAAAAAGAAUAUAGAUACAGUGAAUUCGUGGUUGUUGCUCACAGUCACAAUUGCCAUUGGAUGACUAUUAAGCAUCUACUCUCCAACAUUCCAUGA